rnacentral:rRNA from 1 species
CAGUAGCCGCGGUAAUACGAAGGGUGCGAGCGUUACUCGGAAUUACUGGGUGUAAAGCGUGCGUAGGUGGUGGUUUAAGUCCGUUGUGAAAGCCCUGGGCUCAACCUGGGAAUGGCAGUGGAUACUGGCAAGCUAGAGUGUGUCAGAGGAUGGUGGAAUUCCCGGUGUAGCGGUGAAAUGCGUAGAGAUCGGGAGGAACAUCAGUGGCGAAGGCGGCCAUCUGGGACAACACUGACGCUGAGGCACGAAAGCGUGGGGAGCAAACAGGAUUAGAUACCCGCGUAGUCCCUGUCUCUUAUAC